GGCAAUUGGCUCAUGUUGUAUUUUUCUUCCGGCAGUUAAUCAGGGGGACCAAGGGCAAGUGUGACGAGAGCUUCCUUUAAUCCAAUAGUUUUGAUAUAUUUUGUUAGAUUUCGAUACAUUGAUUUAUUUAAAGUUGUAAUAAUUAUUUUAGAUUGUGGAUUGAGUCAGUGUGGCAUUUAUUAUGGUUUGUCUUAUGACAUUGAAUUAUUAUGAGAUUAUUCUUUUGUGGUUUA
rnacentral:lncRNA from 1 species